AGAGUUUGAUCAUGGCUCAGAACGAACGCUGGCGGCGUGGAUAAGACAUGCAAGUCGUACGGUUGUCCGGUUGCAGCAAUGUGAUCGGGCAACAGUGGCGCAAGGGUGCGUAACACGUGGGUAAUCUGCCUCGAAGCCCGGGAUAACUCCGAGAAAUCGGAGCUAAUACCGGAUGUGACUGUCUGGUGGCAUCAUUGGACAGUCAAAGCUGGGGACCGUAAGGCCUGGCACUUCGAGAUGAGCCCGCGGCCUAUCAGCUAGUUGGCGGGGUAACGGCCCACCAAGGCUAAGACGGGUAGCUGGUCUGAGAGGACGACCAGCCACACUGGAACUGAGACACGGUCCAGACACCUACGGGUGGCAGCAGUCGAGAAUUUUUCACAAUGGGCGAAAGCCUGAUGGAGCGACGCCGCGUGGGGGAUGAAUGGCUUCGGCCCGUAAACCCCUGUCAUUCGCGAGCAAACCUCGUCCGUGAACAGCGGACGAGUUGAUAGUAGCGAAAGAGGAAGGGACGGCUAACUCUGUGCCAGCAGCCGCGGUAAUACAGAGGUCCCGAGCGUUGUUCGGAUUCACUGGGCGUAAAGGGUGCGUAGGUAGCGGGGUAAGUUUGAUGUGAAAUCUCCGGGCUUAACUCGGAAACGGCAUCGAAUACUAUCCUGCUGGAGGGUUGAAGAGGGGACUGGAAUUCUCGGUGUAGCAGUGAAAUGCGUAGAUAUCGAGAGGAACACCAGUGGCGAAAGGCGAGUCCCUGGCCCACUCCUGACACUGAGGCACGAAAGCUAGGGGAGCAAACAGGAUUAGAUACCCUGGUAGUCCUAGCCCUAAACGGUGCGCAUUUGCUGUGGGCGGAAUCGACCCCGUCCGUGGCGUAGCCAACGCGUUAAAUGCGCCGCCUGGGGAGUACGUCGCAGAUUAACUCAAUGAUUGACGG
rnacentral:rRNA from 1 species